GGAAGGUUAUCUUGGACGACAUUCUUGUUAACCCGGUCAGGUCGGGAACGAAGCAGCCGAAUAUAAGUCCUUGUUGGGUCAGGUAUAGCCUUCCACU
rnacentral:SRP_RNA from 1 species